rnacentral:rRNA from 1 species
CAGCAGCCGCGGUAAUACGUAGGGUGCAAGCGUUAAUCGGAAUUACUGGGCGUAAAGCGUGCGCAGGCGGUUCGUUAAGACAGAUGUGAAAUCCCCGGGCUUAACCUGGGAACUGCAUUUGUGACUGGCGGGCUAGAGUAUGGCAGAGGGGGGUAGAAUUCCACGUGUAGCAGUGAAAUGCGUAGAGAUGUGGAGGAAUACCGAUGGCGAAGGCAGCCCCCUGGGCCAAUACUGACGCCCAUGCACGAAAGCGUGGGGAGCAAACAGGAUUAGAUACCCGCGUAGUCCCUGUCUCUUAUAC